CAGCCGCCACGGUAAUACGUAGGUGGCAAGCGUUGUCCGGAAUUAUUGGGCGUAAAGGGCUCGCAGGCGGUUUCUUAAGUCUGAUGUGAAAGCCCCCGGCUCAACCGGGGAGGGUCAUUGGAAACUGGGAAACUUGAGUGCAGAAGAGGAGAGUGGAAUUCCACGUGUAGCGGUGAAAUGCGUAGAGAUGUGGAGGAACACCAGUGGCGAAGGCGACUCUCUGGUCUGUAACUGCCGUUGAGGAGCGGAAGCGUGGGGAGCGAACAGGAUUAGAUACCCCCGUAGUCCCUGUCUCUUAUAC
rnacentral:rRNA from 1 species